rnacentral:rRNA from 1 species
UACGGGGGGAGCAAGCGUUGUCCGGAAUCAUUGGGCGUAAAGAGCGUGUAGGCGGUCCGGUAAGUCGGCUGUGAAAGUCCAGGGCUCAACCCUGGGAUGCCGGUCGAUACUGCCGGACUAGAGUUCGGAAGAGGCGAGUGGAAUUCCCGGUGUAGCGGUGAAAUGCGCAGAUAUCGGGAGGAACACCUAUGGCGAAGGCAGCUCGCUGGGACGUUACUGACGCUGAGACGCGAAAGCGUGGGGAGCAAACAGG